rnacentral:rRNA from 1 species
GGAUUAGAUACCCUGGUAGUCCACGCCGUAAACGAUGGUCACUCGAUAUUGGCGAUACACUGUCAGUGUCUAAGCGAAAGUGAUAAGUGACCCACCUGGGGAGUACGAUCGCAAGGUUGAAACUCAAAGGAAUUGACGGGGGCCCGCACAAGCGGUGGAGCAUGUGGUUUAAUUCGAUGAUACGCGAGGAACCUUACCAGGGCUUAAAUGCAUAAUGACAGGACUGGAAACAGUCUUUUCUUCGGACAGAAUGCAAGGUGCUGCAUGGCUGUCGUCAGCUCGUGCUG